rnacentral:rRNA from 1 species
GAUGAACGCUGGCGGAGUGCCUAACACAUGCAAGUCGAGCGGCAGCGCGAGUAGUUUACUACUUGGCGGCGAGCGGCGGACGGCUGAGUAACGCGUGGGAACAUGCCCCAAAGUGAGGAAUAACUGCCCGAAAGGGUAGCUAAUGCCGCAUACGAUCUUCGGAUUAAAGGAUUUAUCCGCUUUGGGAGUGGCCUGCGUACGAUUAGAUAGUUGGUGAGGUAAUGGCUCACCAAGUCUACGAUCGUUAACUGGUUUGAGAGGAUGAUCAGUCAGACUGGAACUGAGACACGGUCCAGACUCCUACGGGAGGCAGCAGUGAGGAAUCUUCCACAAUGGACGAAAGUCUGAUGGAGCAACUCCGCGUGCAGGAUGAAGGCCUUCGGGUCGUAAACUGCUUUAUGAGUGAAGAAUAUGACGGUAACUCAUGAAUAAAGGGUCGGCUAACUACGUGCCAGCAGCCGCGGUAAU